UCGCUCACUCUCUCGCUCUGCACAGCUCAGAAAACACAGCUCAGAGCUCGGGGAGCGCGUGCGUAACCGUAUCUCCAUCCGUGCUCUUCUGUUUCUCUCCGUUGUUCUCCCCCGACCGUCACGCGCGCGCGAUGCGUCUCCGCGCGCUGUCGCCGCUCUUGCCCUCCUCGCUCGUGUUCUUGGCCGCGUGCGCGUGCUGUGUUUCUUCUGCCUCCUUUUCCUCCGCGGAUCCGGGCUCGCCGGGGCGCCUCGCGCUAAGCAGCAGCUCGUUCGUGCUGAAGGGCGACGCCGCGCACAACCAGGCGAUGGUGCACUGGACCGGAGAGAACAGCAGCGUCAUCCUCAUCCUCACCAAGUACUACCAUGCGGAUUCUACCAAGGUGCUGGAGAGCUCCCUCUGGAGGUCCGGUGAUUAUGGCACCACCUAUACCAAGCUCAACCUGAUGCCUGGAACCACCAUCAUAGUCACCAACUUCUACAUCUGCCCCAGUAACAAGAAAAAGGUGAUCCUGAUCAGUUCCACCAUAAACGACCGGGAGCAGAUGCUGUUCAUCAGCACAGACGAGGGGGGGUCCUUCCAGCGGCAGCCCCUCGCCUUCACUGUGGAGUCGCUGCUCUUUCACCCGUCUCAGGAGGACAAACUGCUGGCCUACAGCAAAGAGUCCAAGCUGUACGUCUCUACUGACCUCGGCCGGAAAUGGACUCUGUUACAGGAACGAGUGACUAAAGACAGAGUUUACUGGGCUGUAUCCGGCGUUGACGUGGAUCCGGAUCUGGUUCACAUGGAGAUGCAGGACUCCAGCGGAGGGUACCUGUACGUGACGUGCCUGAUCCAGAAUUGCUCUGAUAAGAUGGUUACAGCACAGUUUCUGGGGAAGAUUGACCACAACUCUCUCUCCGUGCAGAACAAUUACAUAUUUGUGAAGGUGACGAUGGGUAAUCGUACGAAGCAUUACGUUUCCUAUCGGAGGAACGAAUUUGUUCAAAUGCGAUUCCCCAAAUACGCUCUGCCCAAGGAUGUGCAGGUGGUGAGUACGGAUGAGAAUCAGGUUCUGCUGGCGCUGCAGGAGUGGUAUCAGACGGAGACGUAUAACCUGUACGAGUCGGACCCGCAGGGCUUUUAUUACUCGCUGGUUCUGGAGAACGUCCGCAGCACCAAACAGCCCGAGGAGAACGUUCUGAUCGACGUUCUGGAGGUGCGCGGGAUCAAAGGCGUCUUCUUAGCCAAUCAGAAAGUAGACGGCAAGGUGACCACUCUCAUCACCUACAACAAGGGGCGGGACUGGGAACCACUGACUCCUCCCACCACUGAUCUGAACGGCAAAAGUGUGAACUGCAAAGAGCCAGACUGUCACCUUCACCUCCACCUGAGAUGGGCUGAUAAUCCCUACGUUUCUGGAACUGUUCAUACUAAAGACUCCGCCCCCGGGCUCAUCAUGGGUGCAGGUAAUCUUGGUUCUCAGCUGGUGGAGUAUAAGGAGGAGAUGUACAUCACCGCAGACUGUGGGAGGAGCUGGAGACAGGUGUUUGAAGAGGAGCACCAUAUUCUGUAUCUGGAUCACGGUGGAGUCAUUGUGGCCAUUAAAGACACGUCCAUCCCAUUAAAGAUCCUGAAGUUCAGUGUGGAUGAGGGGCGGACGUGGAGUGUCCAUAACUUCACCAGCACGUCUGUAUUUGUGGAUGGACUUCUGAGUGAACCUGGAGACGAGACGCUCGUUAUGACGGUGUUUGGUCAUAUCAGUUACCGCUCAGAUUGGGAGUUGGUGAAGGUGGAUUUUCGGCAGUCGUUUCCUCGGCAGUGCACAGAGGACGACUACGACUCCUGGAAGCUCACCAACCUGCAGGGGGAGCAGUGCAUUAUGGGACAGGAGCGGACGUACAGGAGGAGGAAGGACUCGUCUCUGUGUAUUAAAGGGAAGAGCUACACCUCAGCGCUAACGGCUAAACCCUGCCCGUGCUCCGAGAAAGACUUUAACUGUGAUUACGGGUUUGAGCGAGCUCCUACUCUGAAGGCUGAAGGCGAUCGCUGUUACCCGGACUUCUGGCACGACCCGGACGCUCCACCUGAUACCUGCCAUAUAGGACACACCUACGAAUCUAGCACAGGUUAUCGUAAGGUUGUGUCGAACAUGUGUGAAGGCGGCACCAACAAAGAACAGAGCGCCAAGCAGCACUCCUGCCCUCUGCUGCCCCCUAGAGGCCUGCAGCUGGGCAUUAAAGGGCAGAUGCUCACCGUCGCUCCUGGAGACGACAUCACCUUCGUUGUGCAUCAGGAACAGGGCGACACCAGCAGCACCAGGUACCAGGUGGACCUGUGGGACGGGGUGAGGGCGAUCUACGAGAACCUGACGGUGACGGACGAGCCGAUCCAGCAUCGCUACGAGAAGCCGGGAGUUUACCGGGUCAGCGUUCAGGCUGAGAACUCCGCCGGCUACGACCGAGCCUCGCUCUACAUCCAGGUCACCAAUCCUCUACAGGAAGUUCAUCUGGAGGUGGUUCCAAUCGCAGGGAGGAACCAGCAGGUGAACCUGACGGCCGUGGUUCUUCCUGCAGACACCAACCUCACCGUCUUCUACUGGUGGAUCGGAGAUGAUCUGCAGCCGAAGCUGACGCUGGAGAACAGCUUGCUGACCAGGUUUCCCGAAGAUGGGGAGGUCUCAGUCACCGUGCAGGCCUCUAACGGACGCUCCGCCGUCCAGGACAGCAAGACUGUACGGGUUUACGAUCGUUUUCAGGUGAUUCAUCUGAGCUUCAGCUCCAUCCUGGACCGCUUCAACCCGAACAUCCCAGAGUGGAGGGAGGACGUGGGCCAUGUGGUCAACAAAAUACUAGCCAAGGUUGCAGGAGUUCCUCAGGACUGUUUAGUCACCAUGGUGAAACCUGGCAUCCCAACUACAGCGCAGCUCUACAUCCUGCCACCAGAGGGAGUAACAGCCAAGAGAAACGCCUUCGUAGAUAAGCGUGUAUCCAGUAUAAAGCAGGCUCUGAGAGAGGGUAAUGUGAGUUUUAUAGUGAAGGGGGGGCUGAGAGUGCAGGUGACGCUGGCAGACCCCGACUCAGGUUUUGGGUCUGGAGUCGGGAGUCCGGGAGUUUGGGCUUUAAUCGGGAUCCUCUUCGUCACCUUCCUCUCCACCGGAGUCUUCCUCCUCUACAAGUUCAAAAGGCAACCACUCAGGUGUAGUACUCAGCAUCACCUCCAGGGAGCUGCACAACUACCUGAGCAGCUGAUGGCCAGCAGGGGGCAGCAGCCGCCAGCAAAAUGGACAAAUGCCUUUCAGUUCUGCCCACCAGUGACCCUUAACACACCCGGACGAGAGAAAGAACGAGGGAAUACACACCUGCACCUGCUCACCUGUUCACCACGCCCACCACAGAGACCCCGCCCCCUCACUCCACCUCUCUCUCCGUCUCUCUCUCUCUCUGUCUCUUUACCGUCUCUACUGUAAAUCUCUGUCUGUCUGAGAGACUCUAAACACACACACACACACAUACACACAAACACAAAUAGAGGAUUAAUAUUAAAUGCCAGUUCCAAGCUAAGGGUUUCCAAUAAAGGGGCCAGAUGCAAGGUUAGGGUUUCCAAUAAAGUGGCCAGAUGCAAGGUUAGGGUUUCCAAUAAAGUGGCCAGAUUCAGGCUUAGGGUUUCCAAUAAAGUGGCCAGAUGCAAGGUUAGGGUUUCCAAUAAAGUGGCCAGAUGCAAGGUUAGGGUUUCCAAUAAAGUGGCCAGAUGCAAGCCUAGGGUUUCCAAUAAAGUGGCCAGAUUCAAGUUUAGGGUUUCGAAUAAAGUGGCCAGAUUCAAGCCUAGGGUUUCCAAUAAAGUGGCCAGAUUCAAGCCUAGGGUUUCCAAUAAAGUGGCCAGAUUCAAGCCUAGGGUUUCCAAUAAAGUGGCCAGAUUCAAGCCUAGGGUUUCUAAUAAAGUGGCCAGAUGCAAGCAUAGGGUUUCCAAUAAAGUGGCCAGAUGCAAGCUUAGGGUUUCCAAUAAAGUGGCCAGAUUCAAGUUAGGGUUUCCAAUAAAGUGGCCAGAUUCAAGUUUAGGGUUUCCAAUAAAGUGGCCAGAUUCAAGUUUAGGGUUUCCAAUAAAGUGGCCAGAUUGAAGAUCCAAUACGUCCUCAGAGCUGCGCGCACACACACACACACACACACACACACACACACCAUAAACUUCCUCGUCCUCGUUUUCUCGGGACCAGUGGCCACGCCCCCUUAGCUGCCUCAGCACUUCCACUUUCACUAUCGCCCAGGGACCACUCCCCCAGCUCCUCUUCCUGUCACAUGACCGGCCCGUGUGCUCUGAUUGGCCCUCAUAGAGACGCUCUCAGAAUGAGCUGUUAUUUACUGUGUGUUUAGUGAAGACUGGGGCCUGUGACAUCACUAAGACUAUAAUCAGACUGCCAGAUUAAAUCUGAUUAUUAUCAGAUCCAGAUCUGUAUCCAGAUUAAUUUGUGAUUAAGUGUAAACAGCAAGAAACCCAACUAACAAUGCAACUAACAAAUCAGAUCAGAUCUUACAAAAUAGUGUGAACAGUAAUUUAAACAGAUCUGGAUUAAGAAUCUGAUGCAGUCUGAACAUAGCCUAUCUCUCUCUCUUUAUGUCUCCCUGUGUCUCUCUCUUGCUUUCUCUUUUUUUUCUGUCUCUCUCUCACAUUCUGUCUCUCCUGCUUUCUGUCUUUCUUUAUCUCUCUUGCUUUUCCUCUCUCUUACACGCUAUAUUUCUUUCUCUCCCUAUCUCAUUUAUUUCCUUUAUUUAUAUCCCUCUUUCUGUCUCUUUCUCUUGCUUUCCAUAUCUCAUGUUCUGUCUCUCUCUCUCUUUGUCUUUUUCCCUCUAUUUCUCUCUUUCUAUCUCUCAUUCUGUCUCUUGCCUUCUAUCUUUCUUUACGUCUCUCUCUCACAUUUUCUCUCUCUCAGGCCUGACUGUGGUUGUAGCUGUUUUUUUUUUUUUUAGAGAGUUGCCCCGUUUAGAUGCUGUGUGUGUGUGUGUGUGUGUGUGUGUGUGUGUGUGUGUGUGUGUGUGUGUGUGUGUGUGUGUGUAUAAAAUAGUGAACAGGAUGAGCAUCACUUUUGAUUCAGGGGUAGCAUCGUUUGAUAGAUACAGCCAAAGGGAAACAACGACUGCAAGAUUUCCACACUCCAUCCAUCUCUUACCCGUCUGUUAUCUGUCUAUCUUUUUACAAAAGUUUUAUUUUUGUCGUUACCUUAACUAAAGGCUUUUACACACUAAACCAACCAAUAUUUGAUCAUAGUAGAUAAGAACAAGGGUAUUAAAAACAGUCUAUCCUGCUUUUGUUGGAGCAACUGUCUCUACUGUCCAGAGAAGGGUUUUUGCUACAGCAUUGCUGUGAGGAUCUGAUUGCAUUCAGCCACAAGAACAUUAGUGAGAUCUGCUCUAUAGUCCUAAUCUACUGGCAGUAUUUCUCUUCGAGGACUAUAGAACAAACUUGGCAUUUGGUGCGUUUGGUGUUUAACAGCCUUUAGCCUUUAUUCGCUUUUCAUUGGUCAUCAAUCCCUCACCUUCUGAUGCAAUAAUGUGCGAGACGCUCUCCUCUGAUUGGAGACGACAGGAAAAUAUUUUCACUUUUACCACUUUUACCACACUUUUGUCAGUUAGUUAGUAAGUUAGUUUGUUUGUUUGCUAUGAGAACUGAUUUGAUGCUACGUGAACUCAUGGUUUCAUGGUUCAUUUUACAGAAAAUAAAACAUUUAACGUUUAAAGAUAUCUUGGCAAGAAAUAUUGGAAAACCAGUUAAAAUGAUUGAAAUUAUCCGACCUAUUAAACCCUGAUGUGCCUCAUCCUGAUGAGUCCUUUCUUCGCAGAUCUUUCCAUCGUCUUCUAGCCUAGAUUCUCUCUCUCUCUCUCAAACAAAGAAAAAAAAAUAGAAAACGAGACGUCCAUCGCACUUUGGCCGGAGGUCAGAGUGGUCCUGGUUCAGGUGUACCAGUUGUAAGAGUUCAGCAGGUGUGGUACCGUUCGUACAGGCCUAUAUUAGGCUAAAUAUGUCUAGAGGUUCCGUCCCAGUUGGCUGGUGUAUAUAGAUAUGUGUAUAAAACAAGUCCAGCUGUAUAUAGUCCCUCGUAUCCAGUGAUUUCACACUAAAGACCAAAACGUGCACAGUUUCCCAGAAUGCCUCUCGCUGGGGUUCAGGAGAUACUUAGAGUUUACGGCAUAGUCCAACACGGUCACCUACCAUCGUUUCCACCUGUUCUCACCUCCAUGUUCCUCAAAUGUGUCUCUCGUCCAAGAGCCAGAUGAUUUCCACGUUGUGUAAUACGAGUUCUUCUCAAUAUCUCACUGUAUCCACGACAACGUUCACUCAACGUUCACACACCGUUCACCCAAUAACAAGCUGUGUGUGAAAUGCUGCACUGUUUAUUCCAUGAUAACGGGAUUGUUUCCACUUGUUUCCGUAACGCUAACCGCGACUGGUUUGUGUGAAUGAGUCAUCAUAGUGAAACUUAUGGUGAAGCGAUCACAACUAGACAUUUGCACUAAUCACAGAGCGAUCGUUUUCGUUUGUACAGCAUUCUCCAGAGAGGCUGAAGACCACUUUCCAAUUAAUCAAGAAACAAUCGAUGCCUUGCUAGAGGAGAAAAACGGCAUCUUCGAAAUUCUAUGAAGUUCUGAAAGUCUGCAUUUGGCCUGAUUUUGGCCCAAAAAAGUGCUUAUACUGCACAACACUACUAGUUACUACAGAUCACUACAAAUACUCAAAAAAAAAAGAAAA